rnacentral:rRNA from 1 species
UCAGAUUGAACGCUGGCGGCAGGCCUAACACAUGCAAGUCGAACGGUAACAGAAAGCAGCUUGCUGCUUUGCUGACGAGUGGCGGACGGGUGAGUAAUGUCUGGGAAACUGCCCGAUGGAGGGGGAUAACUACUGGAAACGGUAGCUAAUACCGCAUAACGUCGCAAGACCAAAGAGGGGGACCUUCGGGCCUCUUGCCAUCGGAUGUGCCCAGAUGGGAUUAGCUAGUAGGUGGGGUAAAGGCUCACCUAGGCGACGAUCCCUAGCUGGUCUGAGAGGAUGACCAGCCACACUGGAACUGAGACACGGUCCAGACUCCUACGGGAGGCAGCAGUGGGGAAUAUUGCACAAUGGGCGCAAGCCUGAUGCAGCCAUGCCGCGUGUAUGAAGAAGGCCUUCGGGUUGUAAAGUACUUUCAGCGGGGAGGAAGGGAGUAAAGUUAAUACCUUUGCUCAUUGACGUUACCCGCAGAAGAAGCACCGGCUAACUCCGUGCCAGCAGCCGCGGUAAUACGGAGGGUGCAAGCGUUAAUCGGAAUUACUGGGCGUAAAGCGCACGCAGGCGGUUUGUUAAGUCAGAUGUGAAAUCCCCGGGCUCAACCUGGGAACUGCAUCUGAUACUGGCAAGCUUGAGUCUCGUAGAGGGGGGUAGAAUUCCAGGUGUAGCGGUGAAAUGCGUAGAGAUCUGGAGGAAUACCGGUGGCGAAGGCGGCCCCCUGGACGAAGACUGACGCUCAGGUGCGAAAGCGUGGGGAGCAAACAGGAUUAGAUACCCUGGUAGUCCACGCCGUAAACGAUGUCGACUUGGAGGUUGUGCCCUUGAGGCGUGGCUUCCGGAGCUAACGCGUUAAGUCGACCGCCUGGGGAGUACGGCCGCAAGGUUAAAACUCAAAUGAAUUGACGGGGGCCCGCACGAGCGGUGGAGCAUGUGGUUUAAUUCGAUGCAACGCGAAGAACCUUACCUGGUCUUGACAUCCACGGAAGUUUUCAGAGAUGAGAAUGUGCCUUCGGGAACCGUGAGACAGGUGCUGCAUGGCUGUCGUCAGCUCGUGUUGUGAAAUGUUGGGUUAAGUCCCGCAACGAGCGCAACCCUUAUCCUUUGUUGCCAGCGGUCCGGCCGGGAACUCAAAGGAGACUGCCAGUGAUAAACUGGAGGAAGGUGGGGAUGACGUCAAAUCAUCAUGGCCCUUACGACCAGGGCUACACACGUGCUACAAUGGCGCAUACAAAGAGAAGCGACCUCGCGAGAGCAAGCGGACCUCAUAAAGUGCGUCGUAGUCCGGAUUGGAGUCUGCAACUCGACUCCAUGAAGUCGGAAUCGCUAGUAAUCGUGGAUCAGAAUGCCACGGUGAAUACGUUCCCGGGCCUUGUACACACCGCCCGUCACACCAUGGGAGUGGGUUGCAAAAGAAGUAGGUAGCUUAACCUUCGGGAGGGCGCUUACCACUUUGUGAU